UACAGAGGGUGCAAGCGUUGUUCGGAAUUAUUGGGCGUAAAGAGCGUGUAGGCAGUUAGGUAGGUCCGUUGUGAAAACUCGAGGCUCAACCUCGAGACGCCGAUGGAAACCCCCUAACUAGAGUCCGGAGGAGGAGAGUGGAAUUCCUGGUGUAGCGGUGAAAUGCGCAGAUAUCAGGAAGAACACCCGUGGCUAAGGCGGCUCUCUAGUACGGUACUGACGCUGAGACGCGAAAGCGUGGGGAGCGAACAGG
rnacentral:rRNA from 1 species